GAAAAUCCCUACAGCAGAGACUCUGUGUGGAUGUAUGUUCAAGGGACAGUCGUGUUGUGCAUGUGGGUACCAGUUUCUUUGAAAAAAUGCACGGCUAAUAACAUAUAAGAUUAGCGCAUACAUAUAAGAUUAACUUGUUGGAUGCCCCGUGUAUUACAGUAUAAGUAUUUUGCCGUCUUACUUGAGAUUCUAGACUUUGUUAAUACCAUAUGAUACAGAAAUAUAGCCAUUUUUGCCUAAAAAUUUAUUAGCGCCCACAAAGUUUACUUUAUUCGUAAGAACCUGAGAUGAUGCCAAUAUUCCUUCAUAACAGGUGACAGUGUCUGUUUGGUCAAAUCUCACUGGCUAUGAUCUUUAGACAUUAGAUGCAGAGUAUUAUUUCUGAUUUGCAGCUUUUAUGGGUUGAAGAAUGGGUGUAUAUAUAAGGUACGAGUAUUUGGGAUUUCUUGCUGACUCUCAUGAUUGUCAUGUCUAAUCAGUGUAGCUUAAAUCAGGAUAGGUUGUGAACUAUAUCUGAAAUAGAAUCAAAUUAUUACUUCUAAUAAUAAUUACUACAUCUAAUUUUAUAAAAAAGGUUUUAUAUCAAAAAAACUAUUUGAAUGCGCUAAUCUUAUCUGCAGCAACAUCUAGCUGAUUCUAGGAUUUGAGGGUGAGAGUUUCCAUCAAUUUGGCCCUUUGGCUACUCUGAAAUGUUCCAUUUAUCUGAUUUCAAUUAGUAUUUCGAUUCUUCUUGUCUCAUUUUGUAUUGUUCCUUAUAAUUUAUUCUGAAUAGCUGCACGUCUUUUCUGAAUUCAAGUUGUAAACGUUGUCUGAAGCUGAGUCCUUGCAAGGAAAGUUAUU
rnacentral:lncRNA from 1 species